rnacentral:rRNA from 1 species
ACGCUCGACACCUACGGGAGGCAGCAGUGGGGAAUAUUGGGCAAUGGGCGCAAGCCUGACCCAGCAACGCCGCGUGAAGGAAGAAGGCUUUCGGGUUGUAAACUUCUUUUGUCAGGGAACAGUAGAAGAGGGUACCUGACGAAUAAGCUCCGGCUAACUACGUGCCAACAGCCGCGGUAAUCUGAGCGGGCUGGCAAGGC